rnacentral:rRNA from 1 species
GAUGAACGCUGGCGGCGUGCCUAAUACAUGCAAGUCGAGCGAACGGACGAGAAGCUUGCUUCUCUGAUGUUAGCGGCGGACGGGUGAGUAACACGUGGAUAACCUACCUAUAAGACUGGGAUAACUUCGGGAAACCGGAGCUAAUACCGGAUAAUAUUUUGAACCGCAUGGUUCAAAAGUGAAAGACGGUCUUGCUGUCACUUAUAGAUGGAUCCGCGCUGCAUUAGCUAGUUGGUAAGGUAACGGCUUACCAAGGCAACGAUGCAUAGCCGACCUGAGAGGGUGAUCGGCCACACUGGAACUGAGACGCGGUCCAGACUCCUACGGGAGGCAGCAGUAGGGAAUCUUCCGCAAUGGGCGAAAGCCUGACGGAGCAACGCCGCGUGAGUGAUGAAGGUCUUCGGAUCGUAAAACUCUGUUAUUAGGGAAGAACAUAUAUGUAAGUAACUGUGCACAUCUUGACGGUACCUAAUCAGAAAGCCACGGCUAACUACGUG